GCCUGCGUAGUUCAAUGGAUAGAAUGUCAGAUUCCGGUUCUGAAGAUGGGAGUUCGAAUCUCUUCGUGGGUA
rnacentral:tRNA from 1 species